AAUAAAGCUCUCUUAAGGUGUCCACGUCCUCAAAUAAAUUCAACCAAUCAUGUUUUUUUUUAAAACACGUCAGCUGGGUGUAAAUUUGGGCAAGGUAAUUUAUAUGUAAUUAAAUUUGGACUUACCCAUCACGUUUGGGCUUGCUUUUUUUUGCCCAAAUCGACAAAUGAAAACUGAAGUUGACGCCACAUGAACUCAUCAUCUUCCUCUCCACCUCUUCGUUUUCUCCGAUAUGAAACCUGAAGAAUUGAAAACAUUUGGAUUUAAAAGAAAAGAUUUGACAGUCUAAUCUCAAUCGCAUAAAGUAAAUCAAACCAAACUUCACACAUCUUUCUCUCCGUUCGCCGUCACACAUCUUUCUCUCCGUUCGCCGUCGUCGCUAAUCUGAGAUCUCUCUCUUUACUCACCAAAGAUGCAUUCGAGCCAUCUCCUUCUCGAGGAGCCAAUCAGGAUGGCUUCAAUCCUCAAGCCAUCCAAAUCCGUAAGCGAUCCAUUGAUCCAUAUUCGUAAGAGUUAUCUCUAAUCUCUCUCUCUCUCUCUCUCUCUCUCUCUCUCUCUCUCUCUUUCUCUCUCUCUUUUGAUGUCAUCAGAGUUUCUUUCCGGAAGCUUUGGCAACAAAAUCCAACUGAAAGUCCCAUGUCUCCACGGUAAGUCUCUGUAGUUUGUAUUUCAAGGACAUCUCACCAGGUCCACCCGAAUCUGAAUUAGUAUUUCGAAUCUAAAGUUAUGGCGAUGAUCAAUUUCUUUUUUCCUUCAAUGGUGUUGAUAACCUAUUUGAAAAGCCGUCGCUUUGUAGUUUUCAUGUCGAUUCGCUUGAUCCAGUCUUCUCACAAUUUUUUAGUUUUUCUCGAUAAGGUUAAAGUGCCGUAGCGAUUGCUGUAAGGUGUGAAGAUAAAUGUCUGUCGAAUAUGAUCUCUGAAUGAAAACAUGAAGAAGUGUCAGUAUGCCGUAAGUGGUGAGUUUUCCCUAGAAGGAACAUUAUCUUCCCUACCCUCGCAUCUCUAAAAAGCCAUCAGGAUGAAUCACUACUCUGCAUAUACUGAGGAGUCUGGACAAUUAUAUGGGACUGCUUUGGCGUAGGACCUGCGCUAGCUGAAGGGUAGGGAGAUUGAAUAUGACUUCCUGGAACUGAAUAGCCCUGUACCGUUGUAUAACUGUGACCAACAGGGAUGUUUUGAUUCAGUUGCCCGUAUUGGUAGCCUGGUGAGUUAACUGCCCCAGGUACUCCAUAAACCUGAAGGUGCUUACAGUGACUCAAGAGGCCUUCUGGAAGCUAGGAAAGAGGUUGCUGAGUUCAUUGAAUGACUUGAUGGGUAUCCCAGUGAUCCAAAACUCAUAUUCUCCACUGAUGGAGCUAGCUAAGGUGUGAAACAAAUCUUAAACUGUGCUAUACGCAGUGAGGGAGACAUGCAAUAUGAAGAAGAGCAGGAGAGUGCAAGUGCCACCAAGAAGCUUCACCAGAAAAGGCAAUUCAUCACAAUUUAAGUAGAAAAAAUAUGAAGUAUGAUCAGAAGAAAUAAGGUGAUGAUGUGAUGAAUGCAUGUCUUAUAUGCCCUCAAGAGAUGGAUGCAGCAGAUCUAAGCUUCUUACCAUGUCCUUGCAGAUUUUGUCUAUAUCUCUUCUCCUCUAUGCAGAUCAACCAAAACGAUGGACGUAGCCCACGACUCUGAGCUUCCCCAAACAAGUAUGAGAAGACAAGUAGUAAAAGUGCUUUAUGUUUUAGUUAUUUCCUUAGUAUCUCAGUUGCACAUAGCAUGUUGUUUGUCAAUAGAGUUUGUGUCAGUGACGUUGUUGCAUCUUUUGAAACUUUAAAGCUUAAUAAAAGUGAAAGAUCGUUGAUAUGUUAUCGAUGAAGUCGAAUGAAUGUUGCUACCAUUUAUCUUUUUCUUUAAAAUCAAAUCAAAUGGGUUGAUUGUCCACUGCGUUUAUUAAAACGUUUUCCCGAUACUAAAGGAGUUGUGAAUGUCUUAAUAUGCUAAACAAAUCUUCAGAAGUAGUUUGAUUUUGCAUAAUAAGAAACUGUAGUAGCAGGUUGGAUCGAGGAAAGGAAUCAAAGAGAAAGAAUAAUAAUAAAAAGAUUGAGAUCCGAGAAAAAGACCAAAAGGUUUGAACAAUACACAUAAUCAAUCCCCUGGACAAAAAAGAUUGUUCAAAACAAAUGUUUUCUACUACUAUUACUUUUAAAUAAUCUCCACUCGAAGGAGAAUAUUUUUUGUAUUACAGAAGGGAAUUUGUAAAUUUGAAAACGUUAUUGGGUCCACGUGUUUUUUUAAUAUUCAAAAUCAUAAAAGUUCAAGUUUUCGUUAAGAUUAUGAGACUUUCAAUUAUACACAUAAAACUGUAUGUUUUAGCGGAAAUUUUUUUUUUCAAAGAUACAUUUUUGUAUUUUCAAUACAUUUUAUUAACUAAUAAUGAUAAAUUCUAAAUUUCAAAUACUAAUUGCAUUUCUUGACUUCUUACCGGUUUAGAAUUAUAAGAAAUAUAAAUCACAAAAUAUAUAUUUAUAACUAAGACUUAAAUAAAUAUAUAUUCACAAAAAUAAGAUUUAAUAUGUGUAAAAAUUGUAAAACAUAUAUGAUUUGCAACAGAGGGAGUAGUAUAUUAGAGUUUUAGAUUAGUAGUUGGUGUAAAAUCAAUUAUACACACUUGACUCUCAUUUUAAUAUAUAUGUAACUAUUGUGAAUGUACGAAAAAUUUAAUUAUUGUGAAUGUAAGAAAAUUUAACAUUUAUGGUAAAUGAAGUUUUAAGCAAUUAUAUUUUAAUUGAGUAUAAAAGUACAUAUUAAAAUUUUUUUUGAUAUAAUCUCUUAUGAAAUUCAAAAAUUACUACUAUUUUCAUUUUAAUUUAAUUGUUGUUGUAGAGUAAAUUGUUUGUUUCAAGAUAAAUGUUGUUUUAGAAUUUAAAUACAUAAUUGAUUAACUUUAUAUGUUAUAUGAUUUUUGUAUUCUUCAGUCUAUUUUUUACUGAUUGAAAUGUGAUUAAGUGUAUAACUAAUGAUAUUUUAUUUUAGUAAUAUACAAAAUUAAUUUUUUUUUUUACAUCUGUAUGCACAAAUCGAAAAUGACAAUUAAAAUGAAACAUAAUUAGUAUUAUAAAAACAUUACAUUCACCUUAAACAUUGUUAGUCCUUUUAGGUGUGUGAUCAUGGAAGAAUAACACUCAUUGCUGGCCAAUUGGUUAAUGCAUCAAAUGUCUAAAAAAUUAUAUUAAGAGAAAACUACAAAAAAAUGUCUAAAUUGUUUUAAAAUAAUAUGCAAACAAUAUUUGUUUUAGAAUUAAUAUAGUACACUAUUAUAUGUUAGAAACAGACUUUUAAAUCCUGAUAUAUUAGAAAUUGCUAAAUUUGUUUUAUUGAAAUUCAAUAUUAUAUUAUCACACAUUUUAAAAAUGAUCUCAGUUCUAUUUCCUAAGAUAAGUAUAUAAUAGUCAAUUGGAAAAUGUUAAUGUAAACCUAGAACAAAAUUAUUAACUGUGUAACUUGAUCAGAAUUGUUUUUGCCAUGCAUUGACUUAAAGUGAUAUUUUAGUCAUUUUCAAGUAAAUGAAUCAAAGAUACACAACUAUAAUAUGAAAAAAUUAAUACGCAAUGUCAAUUCCUCAUAUUUAUCAUAUUAAUUGUUGUCUUCCGCACUAUUGGUUUCAAAUAAUAAUAACCUAUUAUAUAACCAAAUAAAUAAAUUUGAUACGGCUUAAGGAAAUUUUUUCAUAUAUACAAUAAAUAAAACAAAACAACAGUAAAAUAUUAAUUUGAAAUAAAACAAAAAAUGACUACUCUAAAUUUAUAAUGAAAAAGUACAAAAAUUGUAAAAAAUAGAAAUU